GUGAUUCUCACCUGUGGAUGGGUGGAGAUCCCGGCGGGAGUAAAGAGCUCCUGGCUGAUCCCAACAACUUCGUGGCUUGGAAGGAGCCAGUGGUUUGGGGUGAAGCGCUAACCGGCCUGUGUCACUGUAGUGUCCAGUGAGGUGAAGGCUCAUUUCCGGCCCGAGGGGGCUGGGAUAGAGGGUUGGCGCCCCCAGCAACACCCCUCGAGCUGGGCCCUGCUGUGGCGAGAAUGGGCAGGGAGAGGAGGCUCUGGAGUGAGAAACGGGACGCACAGCAAACAAUUCAGAAUCAGCCACUUGUUGAGAAAAUUUGCUUUGUGCGCUACACCUGAAACUUUCCUCAGUUCAUUUGAUUCCCUGAGGACAGGCAGGGAAUGGAGUUGUUUUUCUUUCUAUUUUUGAGACAGGGUCUCACUGUGUACUCCAUGCUGGUCUUGAACUCACUAUGUAGCCCAGGCUAGUCUCAAACUAGCAGCGAUCCUCCCGCCUCAGCCUCCCGAGUGCUGGGUUUACAGGCGGGUGUCAUCAUGCCCGGCUGGAGUUGUUUUUCUGGCUUCACAGAUGUGGAAAUAAACAGAGCUAGUCAGUGUUAAUGUUCAGACCUGACCCAGGACUCCUCACUCCAAAUUAUGCUUAUUAGUAGCAUUUCCCCUCUGUACCAACUCGGAAGCAAACGCCCACCCUCCCUCUGACACCCUGCAUUCUGGGGCCAAGUCUGAUGUUCUUGGUUUCCUCCCCAGCACACACAACCUGAAGGUUGGUUCAAUAUGGAGGAGAGGCUGGUGUGCUGCUGCAGUCCUGGUCCUUUAUCUCUCAGGAGCCUAAUGGAAUGAAGUGGGAGUUUUUACAGGUGCUCAGCUGCACUGUUUCUGGACUGUUUAUUGCUCUUUGCUGUUAGCAGUGUCCCUCUUUGCACACCCGUGGCCUGGCUUUGCAUGCUUUCUUCUGAGGGACACACCAAGCUUCCAGCUGCCUCGCCCCGGACCCCCAGAGCUGAGGCUCCCUCUGCAGUUUGAACCAGCAGAAAUGGUUAUGUAGUCCAGCCUGGCCUUGAACUCUCUGUGUAACCCAGGCUGGCCUCAAACUCAAGGUCAUCCUCCUGCCACAGCCUCCCAAGUGCUGGGAUUACAGUGUGGAUGGGAGGAGCAGCAGAGUGUGUGGCCUCAUGAGAGAUGUGAGAGCUAGGGACACCCCAGUGCCUGGAGGUCGUGUGGAGUCACAUCUCGGGUGUCUCAGGUAGGAGGAACAGCAUGAACAAAAGCAUGGCGAUGGCAUUUAGAAAAGCAUUUGGGAAAGCUGGAGAUUUAGCUCAGUAGCACCUCACCUGCCUGGCAAGCGCAAGGUCCUGAGUUUGAUCCCCGGUACCAAAAAAAGAAAAGCAUUGGGGGCUGGCAGGUGAGGAGGGCUCGGAUCUUCUGGCAGGGCAGGGAGCGGUGCUGGUGCUGGUGCUGGUUCUGGGUGCAUCGCUCACACGUUUGCCAGAGGAGUCUGAUCUUUGAAGACCAUGAAACCUUUCCUCCCUUGAAAACUUACCCACUGUCCCCCUUGGCAGUGUACUCUGGC
rnacentral:lncRNA from 1 species